rnacentral:rRNA from 1 species
AGAUUGAACGCUGGCGGCAGGCCUAACACAUGCAAGUCGAGCGGCAGCACGGGUACUUGUACCUGGUGGCGAGCGGCGGACGGGUGAGUAAUGCCUAGGAAUCUGCCUGAUAGUGGGGGAUAACGUUCGGAAACGGACGCUAAUACCGCAUACGUCCUACGGGAGAAAGUGGGGGAUCUUCGGACCUCACGCUAUCAGAUGAGCCUAGGUCGGAUUAGCUAGUUGGUAGGGUAAAGGCCUACCAAGGCUACGAUCCGUAACUGGUCUGAGAGGAUGAUCAGUCACACUGGAACUGAGACACGGUCCAGACUCCUACGGGAGGCAGCAGUGGGGAAUAUUGGACAAUGGGCGAAAGCCUGAUCCAGCCAUGCCGCGUGUGUGAAGAAGGUCUUCGGAUUGUAAAGCACUUUAAGUUGGGAAGAAGGCAAUUAACCAAUACGUUAGUGUUUUGACGUUACGACAGAAUAAGCACGCUAACUCUGUGCCAGCAGCCG